CCUAUUUUAUGGAUUCAGGAAAAGAUUAAUUCUCCUUUGUUAGAGAUAUUACGAAAGGUUGGAUGUAGAUGCUUAAGAGACUUAUAUGUUAAUAAUGAAUUCCUUCCAUUUGACUAUAUUCAGUCUAAUUUUAAUAUUCCUGCUAACAUGUGGUUAGAAUAUAAUAGGUUGAAAUCGAGUAUUUACUCAUCGACUUAUCGCCUACAAGAGUUUAGACAGUUGCCUUUUGAAAAAAUAAUAUGUUCAACAAAUAGGAAGCAUAUGCUUUCGAAAUGUUUUAGUCUUUUGAGAGAUGGGG